UGUUAAGAUUAAUGAAUGUUUCUUGUACGUUCUUAUAUUUUACAAUUAUUACCAUAAAAGCAAGCAUAUCUACAAAUCUCUACACUUCCAUAUGUAAGUACUAACCUGUAACGCUGUGUUACAGGUUGAAUAAUCCUCUAUAUAUCGUAACAUUACGAUACGAUUACAUUUACACUUAUUUAGUAUUUCUUUCUUAGAAUUCAUUUUAUAUAUAUAUAUAUAUUUCGAAAAUAAUUCCAAGCAUGCAAUAAGAAAUAAGAAAUGACAGGAAGAAGAAGAGGGAAGAAGAAAAAAGAAAAUAAAGAAGAAGAUAGAAGGAAAAAUGGAGGACAAUGAUCCUCAGAAACGGAGAGAACAUCUGCUCUGUGGGCCCAGAUCGUAGCAUGUCCUCCUUCAAUAAGAGGCGAUCGCGUCGUGAAACUUGUCCCACCUCACCACGCAUAGCCAGAUUCUUUAACGACGGACAAAAUUGAGGCACGUGCACCGAGUUGCACGCGGGCGAUCUCUCUUUUCGACCGAAGAGAAAAAAAACAGCAUGCUCACGCGCUCCUGAUCACCGUCUGCCUACAGAAAUUCGCUGCCCCAACAAAUUAUUAUAGAUUAUCUAUAGAAUUAAUAAUAAAGAUCUUUUAAUAAUAAUAAUAAUAAUAAAUAUCGAUAAAUAUAUAAUAUCGAUCUAUAAGUAUAUGUACUUUAAAAUAUCGAACAAUAGUUCUUACAAUCGUAGCUAGAGGGUAUGUAAGAUAACUUGAAACACUUUAUAACGUGACACGAAAGUAACAUAACCAAAUUUAAUUCUUAAAAGAAAAAAAUUGCCUUAUAAAUAAUGCAUUCUUAAAAAAUUAUUUUUUUUAUUGUCAUUUAUUUUUUUUAUUUUUAUUAUGUUUUUUAUUACAAAUUUUCAUUAUUUUAAAUUCAUCUUUACAAAAAUCUGCAUUAUUUAAAAUGGAUUUUCGAAAACACUUUAUAAUACGUCCUUUGUAUUUCAAACUUUUUAAAAACUUCAAAGGAACAGAAAAACUUUAGGGAUUUGAUCGUGCAGCCUUCUCGGAUUCCAGCUAUCUAACAGCUGCUCUUCGUAUCUCGUCUUUUUUCUAUAUCGUGUUUUUCCAUGUCACCGGCUAUACCACCUCCACACUGUGCAGCAAUGUAGAGAGCAGCUCGUAGGAGAGAGAUUCGUCGACACAAAGCGAAAGAUACUGAGACAGCUGGAUUCACAUGACUACCUGUACCAUUUUAUUACAAGUUUUAUAACAAUCUUAUAAUAUACAAAACAAAAUUGAA